GCCGGGCGGGGUGGCACACCUCUGUAGUCCCAGCUAUUUGGCGGCUGAGGUCGGAGAACCCCUUGAGUCCAGGAGUUCUGGGCUGCAGUGUGCUAUGCUGAUCGGGUGUCCACACUAAUUUUGGCAUCAAUAUGGUGACCUCCCAGGUGCGGGGGACCACCAGGUUGCCUAAGGAGAGGUGAACCGGCCCAGGUCAGAAACGGAGCAGGUCAAAACUACCAUGCUGAUCAUUCCUGUUCAUGAAUUCUCUACCUACGCCUGUGUCUUCAAUAUUUUUACCUACUUUAU
ensembl:misc_RNA Metazoa_SRP Metazoan signal recognition particle RNA